rfam:Hordeum vulgare subsp. vulgare, WGS project CAJW01000000 data, contig: morex_contig_1560900
AAUAUACUCCCUCCGUCCGGACAAAUAUACUUGUCGCAAAAAUGAUAGAAAUGGAUGUAUCUAGAACUANNNNACAUCUAGAUACAUCCAUUCCUCGGACAAGUAUUUUCGGACGGAGGGAGUACUAU